UAGUCGGAUAAUCGCGCUUUAAGAUUUAAAGUGAGGAAAGUCCGCGCAUCCCAGAACAGACAUCCGGAGAAACUCCGGGCGGUGUGAACCGGCGGAUAGUGCCACAGAAAUGAAGACUGCCGAUGGAUUUUAAUAUCACAGGCGAUGGUGCAACGGUGAGUUAAGAGCUUCACCAGCAAAAUCGGAAGGUUUUGGCUAGGUAAACCCAUGUCGGAUGCAAGAUCGAGUUCAAAGGUUAUAAAGGUUGUUCGCCAACUUUGAGAAAAGAUCGCUAGAGAUUAGAAGUAAUUCUAAUACCAGACAGAUGAUUAUCUAAAACAGAACGCGGCUUACGGACUACUUU
rnacentral:RNase_P_RNA from 1 species